GAUGAACGCUGGCGGCGUGCCUAAUACAUGCAAGUCGAGCGAGAGUUUUUCAAAUGACACUUCGGUUGAUUUUGGAAAAGGACAGCGGCGGACGGGUGAGUAACGCGUAGGCAACCUGCACCUGACAGAGGGAUAGCCAUUGGAAACGAUGAUUAAAACCUCAUAACGCCGAAGGAACACAUGUUUCAUAGGCCAUAGAUUUAUCGGUCAGGGAUGGGCCUGCGUCUGAUUAACUAGUUGGUGAGGUAACGGCGCACCAAGGUGACGAUCAGUAGCCGCCCUGAGAGGGUGAUCGGCCACAUUGGAACUGAGACACGGUCCAAACUUCUACGGAAGGCAGCAGUAGGGAAUCUUGCACAAUGGGCGAAAGCCUGAUGCAGCAACGCCGCGUGAAGGAUGAAGGCCUUCGGGUUGUAAACUUCUGUUCUUAGGGAAGAAGAAAGUGACAGUACCUAAGGAGAAAGCCCCGGCUAACUACGUGCCAGCCGCCGCGGUAA
rnacentral:rRNA from 1 species